UAUAUUUUAAUUUUUAUAUAUGCGUAAUUGUUAUAAAAUGAAAUACAUAGUUAACACGUUUUAUUGUCAUAAACCUCUAAACGGGCUGGAAUGAUAUGUAUCAUAACAGACGGGAUCGUAAUAUUUAUACGGGAAAAACACUUUAUUACAAUAAUUAUUAUUGCCGCAGUCGUAUAUUAUCAUCAACGACGUUAAUUAAAUCCGAACGGCCUUUUGCAUCAACAACGCAACUGUAUUAUUAUGAUAUUAUUAUUGUAUUAUGCGGCACAAACAAUAUGAUAUCUGCGGACGAGCAAAUGUACAACAAUACCUAACAAUAUAAUUAUAUGUCGCAGUAAAUAAUAAUUUCACGAAAUCAAAUUCUGUGUGAACGCGUGAUUCUAGCUAGCUGCGUUAUACAUAUUGAAAAAAUUAUUGCGUAUGAGCGGGAGAUAUGUCGUAGGUACAUAUAGAACGUUGUACGUACCUAUAUAUAUUAUUAUAUUAAAUAAAAGAGUUUGAAAGUUUUUUUUUGCGGAGAAAGAAACGGAAAAGGAAGACAGGAUGGAGCACAUCUCCGGCGUCCUCGACCUUCGUCCCCGGCGCGGGUCGUUUCCCGUCUUAACGUUAUUGCUACUUCACACAAUCCGGGUCGCGUAAUAAUAAUAUAAUAAACCGAAACGCGCCCAUCAGGACGAACCUUACGAUCGAAAUUGCGAGUUUUCAUCCGAUCGUGAGGCGCGCUAAACGCCUAUUUUGCAGUAUAUACGAACGUAUAUUAUAUUGUUAGGCGUUUAUAGUACCUAAGUUUAUAUAUUGUAUAGUUCCGGUUCUGGUUACGAGUACCCGUGUAUACCUUUAACAAUGGUUAAGAAAUCAUAACAUUGUUUAAAACAAUACAAAUUCGUGUGUAGCUGAUUUUUUUUGUCAAUCGCCUAACAUAAUUUUUAAUACUUAUUAUUCACGUCGUUAUAUGCAUGCAUAUAAUAAUAUGUACUACUAUAUCACUCAACCUCCCAUCUCAACACUGACCAUACGUGUUAUAUUAUACCUAUCGGUUUAACAACGAUUAAGGAUUCAGAAAACAUUUAAUACCGUAUAAAUCCGAAACUGGUUCGAUUUUGUUAAAAGCAAACACCCCAUAUAUAAUUAACUGUAAUAUUACUAACGUUGUCAAUAUUAAUAUAAUAUAUCACACUUUGCCCCGAAUAUCUCUCUAUACGACAAUAAUAAUAAUAUCAACUAUAAUAUAUCAGGCGGACAAUUAAUAUAUUAUUAUAAUAUUGGUACCGGCGUUGCGUAACAUAAUGAUGUAGUGCUAUGUACAAAAUUAGUCGUGGUUUUGGAAAGUCGUCCUAUAGUAAAUAUUUCAGUAUAUAUCAUAUAUACGUAUACCUCCUAUUAAUAACAUAUACCUAACCUAUAUACGCGCAUAUUAUAUGUAUAGUAUAGUUUGAAGAGCCCUCGAUUAAUAAAUGUGAAUUAUUGCCGUGUCUGCGUUUGUUGGCGGUGGCGCUUGUUUAAGUAUAUGUUUAUAAUGUACAUAUAUUAUUAUAAUAUGUGUGUGUAUAUAUUGCAUAUAGUAGGUACAUGUACGAGACACGCUUACGCACAUGUGUGUGAGUGUGUGUAAAAUGGAUUGCUCGUUCAAAGUUUUGGCCGUCGGUGUGUAGGGGACGACGACGCACGGUGACGGUGUCAACGACAAUAAUAAUACCAACAAUGGGACGAAAAAAAGAGACUGUGCGCGGUGGUCCACGACCGAAUUUUCGUCACCUACGCAGCGGUUCAAUACGCGACUAGUGUCGUAAUAAUUAUAUAAUAAUAUAUUAUAAUAUAAUAUGCCAAUCACGCGCCGCUAAUUGGCAAACGGAAUUCGGUUAAAAAACGAAAAAUAAAAUUACAUUUGAAGUACGAAAGCCAUUAUUAUUCAUGAAUAAGAUACAAUAAUAGACACCAAAAAGGAUAUAUUGAUGUGCCUGCAGCAAUACACAUACAAUAUUAUAUGAAACGGACGGUGAGCGUAGGAGGGUUGGUAAAAUAUACCUACGUGUUUAUCGAUAAAACAUAUGCCAACACGUAAGUACAUAAUAUUAUAUACCUUUAUGCUCGAUAUUUCACAUCGAUAUAGCCGAUCGCGGACCGAUGAAAUAACAUAAUAUUAGUAUCGGAAAAUCGAGAGUGUUAAGCAGCGGUUCGCGUGCCAGUGCGCCGUGUCUGGCGGAAGAGGAUUAUAUUCAACCCACCCCUCUACUCUCAUCCCCACGAUCGGUGUACUUUGUCGCUGCACAAUUGCCGCGUAAAUCAUAACACGGGUCGCGCGUUCGCGGCCCCUCUUAAUUAGUUCGACACGGGAGAGAGCGUAUAUAGUUUAUACCUAUAUAUAUAAUAUUAUAUUAUAUAUUUAUAGUAGUAACAACUAUAAAGUAUAAAUAGUCGUAUAGAGUCGCGGUCGUGGGGGGUAGGUUAUAGCUGCGUGUGUGUAUAUCUAUAGUGAUAUUGUCGGCGAGCGGCUUAUAGUUUGGAAGGGGCGAAGGAGUAGGUAAAGACAGCGCACUCGGACGUUAUGCUAUAUAGGUCGUCGUUAGCGCAGACGAUAUUCUUAAGCGCUAAACGCGGUCGUCUACAUAUAGAUUUCAUGGCAUAGGUAUAUUGUAUGCGUUUAAUAUCAUAUUAUUUAGGUAUUAUUCAGGUGGCAGGCACCUACUGCACAUUAUUAUGAAAUCUUUACGUGAUUUACGAAUUUCCGCCGUCACCGCGAUACGUUUUAUGUGUACGGCGACAAUAAUAAUAGCAACAUGCGUCGUAAAAAAAACAAACAUUAUUACAAUAAUAAUAUAAAUACGGCAACGGCGGGAUUUUCGUGCGAGCGGUGCACACCGGUGCUGUGCACAGUGCGUGUGUAGGUGAACGAGAGACGGCGGAAUACAUAUUACAGCGUUUUGAUUUAGUGGCCCCGGCCCGAAAUUUAUUGCCCUCGAAUUACAAUUACCCGCGGUAAACAUAUAUUAUGCACACGCGGCGGCGACGAUAACCGACGGCGACGAACCAUUAUUAUUAUUAUUACAAUUAUUAUUAUUACGACGACGACGACGAAGAUAGGUCGCGCGGUCGCCGAGUGUGACGGCCCUAGACUUUCGUGUCGAAAAAUACGUCUCGAUGUGUGAAUAAGAUAAAAACGGCGGAAACACUCUUAAUUGAGUAGGCAUCGUGGAUUUGAAAAACAAAGCUACUGCUGCGCGACCGUCUCUCGUAUAUUUUAAUACGAUGGUAUUAUUAUUGUUAUAUGACGUAUAUAAAUGUAUAAUAAUAUAGUUAUUAUACAAUUUACUGCACCGCCGUCGCUUGUUUAACGACGAUAGAGGUAGAAAUUUGAAUUACUAAUUUCGUGUCCAGCCCACUGUCGCGCGCAAAUAUAGGAAUUUUAUUAUUUAUAUACGUUUCAUCUCUUCCUCCUCGUCCGGCGAGGCAGAAUGGAAAGUGUCAAGUCGCGUCGUCGUCGUGAGUGCGCGCGUGUUUUCGAUGGUAUAAUUACACCCUAAGCUAUAUACCGUACGUCGACGUGGGCGUAACUUAUAGGUAUAUGGUAUGGCUGGUAUGAUGUAUAAAUGUUACACCGAAGACCUGUGAAAUCUCGUCGACCAAAAUAUAGUCCACAAUAAUUAUAUAAAUCAUUUUAGAACUAUACGAAAAUAAAUUUUUCUUCAAAAUACAUUAUGCGUCAUAUUAUUUAUUAUUGUUAAACAAGGUAGGCAUAUAGGUAUAGGAAUCAGGAAAUACGAACGCGGUUACCGGUAGCUGGCAGCCGGUACACAUUAUAACAGAGUCGAAUAGCAUAUUAUAUAUUAUUAUGUAUAUGUUUGUACACCGCGAUACGGUUGGAUUUUACUUAAUGAAAAAAAAAUAAUAAUAAUAGUGAUAAAACCUACGGGCUGAUGAAUUACACGGACCCCCGGUGAGAGUGCGAUUUUGCAUAAUAUUGACCCAAACAAAACGCACGCGGGGCCAGUUCGAUUUGCCGGUUUUCGUUUACAACUUUGCCAAAACGUUAGUCGUAAAUUUAGAUUCCAAUGUGUAUAUAAGACCGCCGCAGGCGUCGGUAUGUAUGCAUAUACAUAAACUAUUUAUUAUAUUUAUUUAUUCUAUUAUAAUUUAUAAUUUAAUUUUUAGCGUCCACGCUUUUUUUCAUGGCUAAUCUAAAAACGAUUUUCAUAGUGUAUGUUUAUUAUUAUUAAUAUUAAUAGGUACGUAUUAUUAUGAUGCGACGACAGCUGCCGCGCAGUGACGAGAGAAAACCCGUUUGACAAAUUCUCGGAAAAAAAAUUAACUGCCAUAGAAAUUAUUGGAUUUGUAAAAAACGAAAUGCGAUAAUUUAACGACGUUGCUAAGUAACAGCGAGGCGACUUACGGCGUUUUAAUGAUACGGUGCAGCGCGUACCCUAUUACGGAGCAUAAAUAGCUGAUAUAUUACCGGAAUAAUUAUUGUUAUAUGCACAGAUAACUGGGUCGUUAUUGUUCGAUUAAACUUUACGACGUGUCAAGUUUUGAAAACACGUUUGAUUUUUAGACCUCAGUCAUAGUUUAAAUUGUGGAGUAGAUAUAGGUACAUAAUCGGCACCUAUAGGUAUAUAUAGAGGUACAUAGGUAAUCGGUGCCUAGGUAUAUAUAUAGGUACAUCGAAUUAACAGACCGUUUUUUUUUUUUACACAUUUUCGUGACCACCGAACCAUAAUAUAUCCGUCAAUUCGGCUACCCGUUUCGAGUAAGUAUAAUUCGUCCGCGGAAAAAAUAGCAUAAAAGCAAAUACGUCAUAAUAACGACAUAUCGUUAUAUUAUAAACUGCACAAUAUUACCUAUGUAUUAUAUUUUAUAAUAUUACAGCAGUGCCGUAAGCCCUUCCCUCAUUCAAAACGAGCUCACAGACAACCUCGAUACCUACGCGCGUUCGACUCUCUUUGAUCCUUAUCGUCGGUGUUUAUUUAAAGUGAAACUGGGCCAUGCGUCUAUCGUUUCUUUCUGAUAAAAUGCAGUGGCUCGCGGGCCGGACGCGCGCACGCAUACUGCACACGUACAUGUAUGUUAUUAUUAUUAUUAUAUUAUACAUAGGUAUAUACUAUAAUAUAUAUUAUAUUAUUAUUAUUAUUAUUAUGUUAUAGAACGGUAUAGUCGCCGCCGGUGUGUGCGCGAUAUUUUGGCAACGAAAACGGACGUAUAUGAUAUUUUAUAUAUAUACAUAACGUAUCGGCCGAGCGCGAAAGGGAGGGAAAAAAUUCGACAGUGGGUGUAAAAAUUGGCACGAGACUAUCCGAAAAAGCACCGAGCGCUGCACGUGGGGAUGUGCGGUAUAUUGUUUUUACGCGUACAACAAUGGACGUCCGCGAGGCCGACAUGGUGCAGGAAGAGUAGUUUUUUAAUAUAAUAUAUAUUAUAACGUUACACAUAUACCUGCGAUAAAAAAAGGGGUAGGAAAAAAUCGAAAAAUUGCAGGGCGGACUAGAUACACGUUCUGUGCAGUACACGCGAUGCUGGAACAGCAGAAGUGUACUACCAUGACAUAUACAACAAAAGACCUCCGGACGAUUUAGGGGUGGGCAGACCGUCGUCCGCGGUAGGUCCGGGGGGGGGGAUUAACGUUAACGUUGACUUAUAUGUAAAUACGUGUACAUAAUAUGUAUGAUGCAUACCUGUAUAUAUAUAUAUAUAUCUGUGUGUGUGUGUGUACCUAAAUACCUAUGUACAAACCGCGCAUAUAAAUAUUAUAUUAUAUACGAGUAUAGGUAUGGACCGGGCAUAAAUCAAUCGCCGGCACGUCGUCGUACACGCAUAUAUGUAAUUUAACGAUAUAUAAUAUAUUAUGCUUUGGUAUACGAUAUAUCAUAUAGCGCGAGUGGGGAAACCGAAAAGAAUAUAAUAAUGCGGCUUGCGAGGGGGAGGGUGGGGGAGGAAGGAAAAAUUUGAAAUUAAUUAGGUCCGGUGGCGCGGCCGUUCAGGCCACACCCACGCGUGCGGCCGACGUAGGUAUACGUAUAUAAUAUAUAUAUAUUAUAUAUACAAUGCGCAUUUAUAUUAUGUAUCGUUAAAACGGACGUCGUACUCGCACAGUACAAUAUAGGUACAUAAUAUUAUUAUAUUAUAUACGUGCGCGCUUAUAUUGUUAUAUAAUGCACAUAGACAAUAAUAUAAUAUUAUACUUAGAUGUAGAUAUUAUUUGUUCGUUUUAAAUGCCAAUUACGAUGAUAUAUAGUAACACAGUACCAAGUGCAGGAUAUUAUAUUAUAAUGUGCGCGCGCAAUAUAUUAUAUUGUACGAGUGAGUGACCCCACCGCGCAACUCCUACCAGUCCCUAUAGGUACAUACUACGGUAACUAUACCUACUAGUCGGCAUGCGCAAUACAUUGUUAUAAUAAUAAUAAUAUUAUUAUCAGGUAUUAUUAUUUUAUCGUAUAAAGUAGGUACGUGACGAGUGCCGCCGGCCUCGGAGAAGAAGCGAACGCCCGGCGGUCUACGCGGCGGCGGCGACGACCUGCAGCCUCCGAUGCAACGGUCGUCGGUCACUAUCAUAUGUAUACGAUAGGAAAUUCCUGUUAGGAAAUACAUACCUACGCGGGUGCAGUGUAUACAAUCGACGCUUGAAUUGAUGGGACGCAUGUGGAGGUUGGUGGACGCAUUGAAAGGUAAGUAUAUAAAAAAAUAUGCAGUUUAUAUAUUAUUAUAUAUACUUAUAACGAUGUAUAUUUUGUCUUUUUUAGGAAAUCAAAUCUUAAUAGGACAACCCCUAUCGGAAUCAUCGACAAUAAAUAUUUUUUUACCGAUUCGCGUAGAAUUGUGCGACCGACGCGUUAAGCGCGAGUAUAUUUUACACAUAUAUAUAUAUAUAUACAAAACGCCGACAGCGGCGGCCAUCGUAUUCCGACGCUGCUGCGUCCAUAUUGCAGCCGCCGCCGAUGCACAUGUGCACCCGUUAAAACGGCAACGUCGAUCUUCAGUCACUGAUGCACUGUGCUCGAGCGAUGUCCCAUCUAACUGGCAACUACCUAAGGGUUAUUAUUUUUUUAAUGAAAUGAUCAGAACUAGAAUCGUCCGACCUGAUUAUUCUCAUAUAAAUUGUAUAGGUAGGUGGUACUGAUAUUAUCGAGUAAUUAUAAAAUUAAAAACAGUGUAUAAUAUAUUGUAAGCCACCCCGGAAGCUUAUAUAAAAUAUAUUAUAUCUACUCUAUUUUAUUCUAUUUUAUUCUCUGCUCGUAACGUAAUAGCUGGUAUAAUAUAUAAUAUCAUAGAGGAUAGAGGUGCACGCGCCCGAUUAUCGCGUAUACAGAGCAUGUACACACUGCACCGCGGGCUGUAACCAUUGUUCGAUUGUUGCUGGUGUAAAUAAACCAUAUCAUUAGGUCCAUAAACAUUCAAAGUACGACCGCGACGGUAUCCAAAUUACUAUACGGUGGUAUUUUAAUUUUAUCGAGUCCGCGAUGCAGCACUGCAAGCAGGCUUUAGAGCAACGAUUUGAAUCUCGUUCGUUGACGUACCUAUAGAGUAUAUUAUUUUGGAGACCAUUAGGUAUAGAAAAACUGAGAUUUACGGGUACUUGCCUAAUUAGUAAUAAUUGUAUAGUAUAGUUUCAAACAAAUAACCCAAUAUGGAAAGGGAUUAUUAUGUUAUAUGAACCGAUUAAAAAUAACACUUUUAAAAGUGUUUUACCUUCGCCGAUGGUCCGAUGUGAUUUAUAUUAUAGUAGCGUACUUAUCCAAACAGCAUAUUAACACUUACGCAACAUUAAUAUCGGACUUCGUGUAUGAAAAACAUUAAGCAUUUUACAUUAUCAUUUAAUGGCCAAAAACAAAUUAAAUCAAAAUAUUACAAGAAGAUUAUAUUCCUAAUAAAAAUGUUUACGAAUUUACAGAAACUGUUGUAAAUCAAUAUGGGUACCUGCAAUUAAUUUUAACGACAAUCAUUUUAAAUCAUUAGGAAACGCGCAGGACAAAAAACAUGGACAAGUAACCUAUAUAAAAAUAAGUAAUUAAAUAUAUAUUAUACUUGCCACGUAUAUCUACUCCCUCGCUUAGGUUACGCAAUCGAUUUUAUCACCGAAAACGAAACGCGCGCGUAUAACGAUUAAUUUUAACCGAGACGAGAAACAAACAGAAUUACACCUCGUUUACUGGCCAUUAAAAUUAAUUCAAACGUUUUCUCUCUCUCUCCUCUCGAAUAUAGGUGUAUUUAGGCGUCGACGGACAAAAUUAUCUAAGUAUCUAUCCACAAUAGAAUGCUGUAAUAUUUCAUAAAAUUAUAUUAUUUUUUAUAUAAUAGUAUAUAGGCAUGUUGGAUUUUGUCAUAAAAUAUGUAUGGUAUACUUUUUAUUUUUUCAAGAACAAGCUCGACACCCUCCGCAUGAUUCACGACGUGUAUUUUAAUCUUAUAGAUUCAGUUGAAUGGCAACAUUACGAGUAAUUUUGUUUUGUUUUUUUUCAAUCGGAUAAUGUGGGACGGACGCCACUGUGCGUUGUUGCCGUUCAUCACCCUCCAUAGUUUUUGGGAGGAGCGGGGAGAGGGCAAACGACAGCGUAGCCACUCGAACCUCUACCGCACGCACUCAACGUCAUCGUUUUGGGGUUUGUACAUAUAAUAUUAUUAAUAAUAAUUGGACUACACUCGCACACACACGCACAUAUACAUAUAUACCUUCACUCGUUACAUUUUAUAUAGGUAUUUGAGCGGUCGAGUGGUACUGGGAGGGUUGUAUAAGCAGUAGCGGAGAUGGGGUGCACCUGCAGAGCAGUGCACGACAUUUCAUCAGUUGCAGCAGAUAACCAUCAGCCGUGCGGGGUAAUUAAAACAACAUUUUACGAGAUAAAUUUAUUCAUUAUAAUUAUUAUUGUUGGUAUAAUAUAAUACUGGGUAUUUGUUAUUUGGUAUGGUCGUGUUAUGCCGCAGCCGCGAAUGACAUGAUGAGUUUUGGCGAGAAUUGAUUAAACAUAAAAAUUAAAUGAAUUGAGAAAAAAAGUAACGACGAAGAGCUCGAAAAUAAAACUCGGAAAAUCGAAGAUGGCAGCCUAAAUGCGUUGGUAUAUAAUAAUUUAUAUACGUGUAAAAUUAUGACGAUCAUUAUCGUGUCUAUAUAUAGAUAUGUCUGUAUAGGUAUAUGUGCUCGAAUGCCGUGUAGACAAAAACACGCAUUAUAUUAUUUAAUAAUAAUAAUAACAAUAAUGACGUUAUAAUGGCGAUUGCGGGUGUCGAAUCAAUAAGAAAGUUACGUGUGGUUAAAUCUCAUUUCGCGUAUAGGUAUAGUGGUAUACCGUGGUUGCUGCGUGACGUGUAUAGGGGCUGAUAUAUAAUAGUAUAGAUGCAGGAUCCUGUGCGAUAUAAAACAUAAUAUUAUAUCCUGUGAUCGAACAUAUAUAUAAUAAUAAGUUCCUGAGUGCCUAUUGUGUUAUUCCUACAUGGGUACAUCGCGCAACAUACAGGUGUAAAUUAUUAUACAUACAUAUAGACCAACGAUGCUCAUGUUAUUAUAUGCAUAUAGGUACCUACGGGCCGGCGGUUGAUUAUAGCCAUCAUAUUAUAAUUUGUAUAUUAUAUUAUAGCGUACGUACACGAUGAGCAUAACACGUCUAUUCGAUGGACUAUACAACUAUUGUAUAUAAUAUAGACGAACGGUUAAUCGCACGGCCGCACGCGAUAUAUUUGCCGUUGUUCCCCCUCCCCCUCCUCAUACACUUCACCAUAUGAGCUGCGGUUCGGGGGCCAAAAGUUUUCGACGACGAUCGUCUGCGCUCAGCAAGUAUAAUAUCGCAAGAUGUACCUCUUAUAUACAUUGCGCUUUUAUCCACCAAAACAUUUCGUCGGCGGACGAUAAAAAUUAUUAUUAUGUAUCACAAUAUAGGUAGGUAUUUAUAAUAUAUUAUUUAUCAUUAGUAUCAUUAUAUGGAUUAUGGGUGCGAUAUGAAAAAUAAAGUAAUUUGUUAUUGUAAGGUUGUAGCGGUUGCAGUCCAUCUGCAGACGUAGAGGUACGCGUAACGUAAUAAAUUAUAAAAAUAAAAACGUUGUGGACGGGUAGAGAUGACGGGAAAAGGUGUUCAAAACGAUGGCUGCACCAAUAACGACGUGAAGCCUAUACGGACCGGUAUAUAUAUAUAUAUAUAUAUAUAUAGGACCUAUGGAUCGGUGCAUAUGAUGCACUCGUACGACUGCAGCGGAGGGAUGCCAUUCGGGGCAUAAUAAUAUACUUAUCGCAAACUGUACAUAAUAUAUUAUGUUUAUCAUCAUUUCACUUUCUGCUCGUUUUUUUCUCCGCGCGUUUUCCAGCCGAGUACGCAUAUUAUGUGUAUAUUAAACCUUUAGUAUAAAAUAUAGUCUCGUCUCUCCACCCCUCACUCGCCUAUAACCACGGCAAACGACGACUCAGACUCAGACUCAGAUUCCGAUUGUUACAUAUAUAUUAUAAUAUACAUUUUAGCACGAAACAAACACACACGGCGUAAUAAUAUAUAUUAUAAUGUACGUUUCGCGACGCGCGUAUAGACGUCAGACGGGAGUGAAAACGCUCUAGCGGGCUGCUGGCGGCGACGUACGGAGAUUUACACACUGAAAGGGUGGCGGUGUAGGCGGCGACCGAAACGCGCCGACGGUUUUAUUCAAAUGACUUCAUUUCAGACGUCUAGCCCGGGUGGUGUAAAUUUAAAUUAGGCGCCUCGGCUGCAUCGUGCGGGGGUCUGCCCGACCGUGUACGGCAUAUAUCGUCUUGUGCAACACCGCCGCCGACGUAUAUCACAUAGGACUAUACUGCACCACGCGAGUGUACAAUAAUAAUAUAUAACGCCGACGACGAUGAGCGAAAUUACUAUACAUACUCGAUGGACCCGAGACAGUUAUGCGUGCGAUUUACGCGCUCACAUGAAGUGUAAUAUAAUAUACGCGUACUGCACACGGUUUUCGGUCGGGGUGAAGUAUUUCGAAACGGAAUUGCGUUUAACGAAACCCGUCGCCGCCACACGCACGAAACGCCGCGCGAUUAUUCUACAUUUCAAUUUACGGCCGCCCGGACGCAUAUUUUCCGCGAGUGAAAUGAUAUCAGCUCGACUAGGCUGACGCGAAUGUCAGCGAACCGCUCGGCGGCAAUGAUAAUAUAAUAUUAUCGCUCCGUAACGACGAUGGAGUAACGACUAUAAAAUAUUAUACCUACCGAAAAUCGUCCGUCCCCCACACGCACAAAAAAACCUCUGGUCAGCAAGAGAGCAGGGGUGGAGGGCAAUCAAAUCCGAAAACCGAACAGUAAUAAAAUACGAUAAAUUUGAUUUCUUAACCUUAGGACGUGUGCGCAGUUGUACUGCAGCAACGAUUCGACGGCGAGCCAAAUAAAUGAUAGUCAUUAAAACACGCAUAUUAAUUAUUAUUAUAUUAUUCAAUACGACGCUUGCCGCGAUGUCGCAACGGUGUAAUAUUAUUAGGUACGUGUAGUGUGUACAUCUAUACUCACUGCAAGAGCGGAAAAACUUAAAUGAAAUCGCCAACAGGCCAUGAUGAUAUUAAUAGACGGCGAGGAGAGCCAGUGAUGCCGCGGUGAUUGAUUUUGAAUUUCACACGAAAAUAUUACAUAUUAUAUAUUAUACGCCGUUCUCUUAAACACGGUCAUUAUAUCAUAUCAUCGAGAAUACGCAUAAUAUUGAAUUUUCUACGGUAUGGGCGGAGAGUAUUUUACGUAUAUAAUAUAUAUAUAUAUAUAUGUAUGUUUCGAAGCGAAGAAGGCGAACAACGAAAUUAUAAUGCGGUAAAAGCCUAUAUUAUGUACAUACAUCGUCGUAUAAUAAAAAUCCGAAAACACCUCUAUACAUGUACGAGCUGCCUCCGUUGUUUUAAUAAUAAUAAUAGGCACGAACUAAACGAUUCCGUAGACGAUUUGUUUUUUAACACGUUUCGUUUUCACUCUCCGGGCAACGCAAUCUCGGUCCGCGUAGUUAUAUAUUAUAGUAGACAGUAUAUAAUAGACAAUCGCCAAGCUAAUAUUGUAAUAUCAUCGUUGGACGGCGAAAUAUCGUGUGCAUUCCGACACACUGAUGCACCACGGUGAGUGUAAUAUUAUUAUACAUCACACUGCACCGGCGACCCCCUAAUUAAACGUCUGGGGCGGCGACGGUGUUCCGGCCAACACGUUAUCUUAUUGUUAUAUGAUAUUGUGUGAGUGUUAAAAAAUAUAUAAAUAUAUAAUAUAAUUACGGUUCGUAGUUUUCCAUAACGCAGAGAGUUCUUCCAUAUUAUGUAUAUUAUAUUAUAUUAUAUUAUAUAGGUACGCGUCGUAACACAUUCUUCUACACGGAAUAAUAUCGUACAAAUAUAUCGGUACCACUCUGCAGGUUUAUAAUAAUAUAAAUACGCCGGCAAAACUGUAUUAAUUUUUCACAAUUAUUAUUAUUAUUACUAUAUUAUAAUAUGCAUGUCGGACGGUCACAAAUUGUCUCGAUGACUUAUCGUCCGGUCGGGACUAAAUCAAUUUCGAAGAUACUCACACACACACACGCAAACACGAUCCGUCGCUGCAGUUUCUUCUGCUGCAUAGCAAGUCGGAAACGCAGUAUAAUAAAUAGACGGUCGUAAUGAAUGGCGAAAACCGGGAGGUCUUGUCACCGCAAGACCAGUUUUCUACUUUCAUAAUAUUAUAAAUUACCGGCCGGCAAAUGACUUAUGGCCUCAAAACGGCCCGCGCGUCUUUGUACCCGAGCACAUAUAUAUAUAUCAUACACACGCGUGUACCGGCGUCGCGUGGGCGUUCAAAAAAUGUAUAUCCUACCAAUAUUAUAAAAUAUAAUAUAGUAUAAUAUAGGUAACCUACUCGCACGAAUAAAACGUCCGCGGUACGUCCCAUUAUAAUACGGAUUUGUACGGGUCUUGGUCGCAUAUAUAUCGAACGAAUACGACGGUGUGUGCGAACAACUGCAUAAUAAUAAUAUUCGAAAAGUUUUGGACUUUUGAGUAUGUUUAGUUUACGGUUUGACGUUUCGUAAUGAUAUCGCGUUCAUUGGAUACCUAUAAUUUGUAUUUGGCAUGUAACUAUAUUAUUCAAACGCGUAUUUCGUGUACACGGUCACAUAUAUUAUAAUAUAUUAUUAUGGACUACAUUAAACCGCAGAGAGUUUUGAAUCUUUGAGUAUGCGUUACGCGCUCGCGAUCGUUGGUUAUCAUUAUAAUCAUUCGACCGUGGCGACUCUCAUAUUGGCGAGUCGUUAUUUAUUCACGUCCCAUCACAUAAGAUUCUAAGCGUACGAUAUACCACCCAAGCGACGAUCAAUCUCUCGGACGCGCGCGCGUCACACGUGCAAUUUUUUCCAAUGUCCACUCGGCCUGGAUUUCGAAUUUUACCGACCAUCGUUGCAUCGGCUUUUGAUAUUAUGAUCGCUGCUGCAGAUCGGUACAGCUCUGCGCACUUACUAAUUAUUAUAUUAUGUGUUACAAGCGAGACUGCCGUUCAUGUGGAUGCACGGUUUGGCCGUGGUCUGGGGCGGCCAUUUUCGACGAUCGUUAAUUAAAACGUUCAACGUAUAUAGCAGCAGGUAUAUGUAGGUACACCAGGUUCGCGAUUGAUGAUUUCGCCUAUACCGCCCAAACGAAGUUCCGCAUACAGGGUGCGUGGCCGCGAGUGUGCAUAAUAUGUGAUGGCGAAUUAUAUAAAGCCGACGCUCGCGAACAACUGUCGAAAUAACGCUAAAAUAUAAUAUAUUAGGUAGGUACAUAUAGGUACGUGUCCAGGUGAAAGAGAAAAAUAUCGUUUUUCAGGUGUUUGCGGCGUGCGCUUAUAUUAUAGGUGUGCAUAUUGUGUACGAGUAUAUUAUAUAUACCUACGAAGAAACCGAGUGCCAUUAUUAUUAUUAUUAUUGUAAGUUAUACAUAUCGCGUACAUAUUAUAUAUAUAUACGAUGCCUACAAAUAGGGGGACGUGGGCGUGCUGCGUGCCAUAUGCCGGUCGGUCGAGUCCUAAGUAAAAUAAUAAUAAUAAAUAUGUAAUGUAUGUUGUAUUAUGGUAGUAGUAAAGGUCGUGUGUAGCGGCAGCAGCAGCAGCAGAAGAGCGCUGCGAGACUCGCCGCCGCGUGUAGCUGAAAAUUAAGACAAACCCGAGCCGCCGCCGCCGUCGGACCGGCGUGGGGGGCGGCGGCAGAGGGGGUCCCAUCCGCGCUCGUGUAAUUUAUUUGUUUCCACGUAAAUUAUUUCGAUGUCUUUCGGACGAUAAAUCUCCGAAAACCAUUGUGUGCGCCUGCCCCGACCGCCGACGUAUAAUUCUAUACCGCGUUAUAUAUAUAUAUAUAUAGGUAUAUAGUGUAUACCUUUUAUACCUAUAUAUACCUAUGCGAGUGUACCGUCUCAAUUACAACGUCGUAAUAAUAUAUGUAUAUUAUUAUAUUGUUAUUAAAUUAUUAUUAUUAUUAUUGUAAUAUGCAGAACCGUGCGAUUUUACGAUGUCCGCCGCGAGUAAAUCGAUAGUAUAAUAAUUAUAAUAAUAUGACUUAUCGUAAAAACUAGUCGCGAAAGGAUUUCGACAAUGCAGACCAGCGGUAAACGCAUCUAAAUUAUUAUUUAUUUUGUUUGUAUGUGAUGGAUAGUAUAUAGGCGUCGAUGAUAGUGUUAUGUUAUUUUAUACGUCGAUAAUAACAAUGAUAUUCGUUUUAAUCUGCAAGUCGACUGCUGGUUAUAUACACACGGCAAAGCGUCGUCGACGUGUUGGAAGCGCAAUUUUUCUCUCGAAAUUUUUUUCGACGGCCUUAUCGCCGUCCCGCGUCACGUACCAAGGGCGUUAUAUCGUCGAAUCGUCAACUACCUAUCGAAUCUCGCUCGUCAUUCAGAAAACGUACGCGGAAUACGCGCAGAGUCCGGGCCACACGCGUUUGCAUGAUAUUAAAGUCUCGACGAGGAAAAUGUGUUCCGAAUUACGUGCGAAUAUGUAAGUACAAUAAUAUCAAUAUUAUAGUCGUCGCCGAAAUAAUUCCGAAAUUAAAUCAUGUCUGUGUGAACGCACCCUACGGUAGCCACCGCCGCCGACUCGUCCCGCCAUAUUAUAUAAUAUACCUAAUACCUAUUAUGCUUAUAUACAUAUAUAUGUGUAUAUAUAUACCUACCACACUCGGCUCCCCCUUAAUAGACGGCGGCGGCCCACGGUUACCGCCACCGCCGCGAUGAUGAUAAUAUUAUUUUACACUGUCUCCUGUGCUGCAGUGUUGUAAAACACGCGUAUAUUAUGAUGAUGAUGACGACGACGGCGGCGAUGUCUCAUUUAAUAAAAACUAAUGCGUUAUACAUGUCUCGUCGCCGCAAUAAGAAUACGGCCUGGUUUCUCUAUACAUUCGUAUAUUAUGUGCGUGUAUAAUAUUAUAAUAUAUACUUUGGGAACUCUCGUAGAUCCUAAUGUCUCGUCUCGCGUAUGAUUAUAUCAUGUUUUAUUCGGUUUUAGGCGAAAUGAAAAACUUCUGUUCACGGCGGUGUUCAGGUUGGCGGUAUACAUACGUUUUGGCGAAGAAAAUCGUCUCGUGGAUUGUUCAUCAACUGCUGCAGAAGACGGAAAAAUCCAAAACGAGUGGAAUCAAUGUACGGGAAUGGGAAUUAAAACUGACUAUAUUCGGUGGUAUAACGUUAAUAAUUAAUAUAUAGCGUAAUAUGAGGUUAUAUACCUCAGUGGUGAAUUGGGUCAAAUAUACUUUAUCGUUAUGUUCUAUAGUUAAGUAUUAUUUUCGUAAUAUAACUGUGUAUUAUUGUUUAAAUAUUAUGUUUUUACGACCAAGUAUAUAUAUUAUUAUUAGUAGUAGUAUAUUAUGUACCCACAUAUAACGAGACGUCACGUGAAUGUGCGCGGUGUGGGUCGGUACGGCCGAUUAGAGUUUUAUAAUUUGUGUGUUAGAUGUCGACUGACUAAAUUUGGCCAUUAGGACGAAGACGACGAAACGGUAGGUAUAUAAAAAAAUCGUAAUCUCCGCAACGGCGAGGGAUAGCUCAUCUGUAAUUCGACGUUGUCGUCGGCCGCGCGGCGCUGCAGCCAUGUUUGAUACAGCCUACGGCUGACACUGUUAAGUUAUAAUAUAUAAUAUUAUCUCUCUCACUCGCUCCUAAGCCACAGCUGCCUCCAAACAUCUCGCACGACUACCGUAUACAGAACGGACGUGUAAUAUUAAUCGAUUCCGAAUUAAUUUCCGUCCGCACAGUACAUGACCGCAUACGAUGCGCUUAACCCGAAACUCGUAUAGCCGUGUGAUUAUUAUAUAUAUAUUAUUAUUAUAUAUAUAUUAAUUCAGCUCGUACACACGAAACAUCAGCUCGAUCGGUCAAGCGGUACGUGAUUGGUUUUUACACGCCGCUGUGUUGGGCGAAAUUUUAUCGAAAACCUUGGUCCUAUUAUAGAUACGUCUCCGAGCGUCUGAUUAGGUAAAAAAAAAUUCUCAAGCACAUUCGAAACCGAUAGUAGGGGUACAACAACACUCGCUUUUGUUUUAGGUCACCGGUGUUGCGGAUUAUACGCAUUUUACCCCUUUUUCGAUUCGCACUCUGCGUAUAGCUAUUUAGGUACCUAUAUAUAUUAUGCUACACGUAUAUAUAUAUAGUGUACAUAGUUGCACGUUUCACUCGCAGUAUACGCCGCGGAAUACAAACGCGUGUGCCGUUGGUCGCGGCGUUUUUUUUUACGUUUCGUUUUAAUUUUAAUUUUUUUAUAUACGCGCUCAGUUUCUAUAUGGACCAGCGAAUGAUAUACACGAGUCCGCUCGUAAACUCGUCAAUGUUUCGAGUUUUUUUCUAAUUUUUUAUUCCUAUUUAAAAAAACAUAUUUUUAAUAUAUACGUGCGCCACGUUCGAGUGUGUGUGUGUGUAUAGGUAUAUAUGGUCCCACAAAAACCAAGGGCGGGCCCGGCCGCGCGUAUAUGUACGUCGGGCGUCAGAUAAAUCAUGUGACUCGGACGGAUAAAUUAUUCGGUGGUCGUCCUGCGGCCAUCCUCGCGUCUUGCGCGCGCUGUGCGCACAUAUAAUACGCGUUUCGUUUUUUUUUUUUUCGUUUUUGUUUUUUAUUUUUUUACUCUCAAUGACUUCACCAUUGCCCCGCCGCUUAAUUAAACUCCGUAGAUCAUGUGUACAUAUUAUAUUAUUAUUAUUAUUAUACCAUUUGCCCGAUGCACGCACACACUCUAGAUAGGUACUACCUUAUACGCUCGUUCUCCACGAUAUGUUUCUCGUACCGAUCGAAAACGAGUCUCCACUAUGAACCCUAUACGGGAUAAUAAUAUUAUUGUACACAUAUCAUAAUAUACAUUAUAUAUGCGACGAACACUACGUAUCGCGCGCAGCAGUUCUUCGGUGGGAGGGCGCCGCGCGUAACUCGUAAUAAUAUAAAUACUUAUAAUAACCGCGACCAGAUCCGAAUCGAUCGAGAUGUACCUAUAUAACGAACGUUAUUAUAAAUGGACGUUUGGACGAACAAUUGAGAGCAAUGUCAUUUCAUAUGCUGUUAUAAGCCAGAUAUAUAUAUAAAUACAUAUAUGAAUGAGAAAUGUAUUGUUUAUAUAUAUCACGUGUGUAUAUAUGUGUGUGGACGAAUCGCAAAUGUAAUUUCUGAAAACGUUCGCGUGUUUUAUAUGCAUAUUAACGACGUUCUGGUACACCAGUAUUAAAGUGCCAUUUUUGGCACUCUUCCGGGGGUUUAUAUUUGACCGAAAUUCGGAGACAAAACUCUUCGGGUCUGUAUAUGUGUGUUUAUAUAAUAUAUAUAUAUAUAUAUCUGUAUUACUGCUGCUGCUGCCACUGCUCCGAGGUUUCUCGCUUAUUAUAAACGUGUAACUCUGUGUUUCUCCGUAAUACUAAGCACAAAUUUCAUACAGCCAGUUUUCUUUUAGCACGCUGCACUGCUAUAUAAUAUUAUAUAUAUAUACCCUGAGGCGAAAAUGAAUUACGAUCCGGAAUGCCGGAAAGCGACACGGCGCAAGAUUAAUGUCGUUUUACCAUGUAUAGUUAUACGGGACGAACGGGCGCGGGUCCCGUCGGAAAAAGCCUGGCCCGCGCUCCACCUCACCGUCGGUGGGAAGCGAAGUGGUGGCCAGGGGGCCGCCAGGGGAGCGGUGGCGUUUAAUGGGAGGGAGGGGGUAGUUGUAAUAAUUAUUUUAACAGUGAACUCCAUUAGCGACUAUAUAAGGUGCUUGGCGGCGGCGGCGCGGGGGCAGUGACGUUUAUCAUUUGAAAAAUAACCUCCCCUGUAUACGCGCAUAUACGCACACAUAAAUACAAUACGCAGAAACGUAUAUAUAUGAUGUAAUACCACUGCUGCUGCUGCUCCUGCAGGAACUCUCCUGCACGCCACUACUAUUGCAACGUCCGGGUGGCGACGGCCGUCGGCCGGGGCGAAGUACAGGCAAUUAAGAUCACCGAUCUUACAACCACCUUGGAGUUUUUUCCUUUUUCUCCCGCCAUCCCGCGCUCGACGAUUAUAUAGCGCGCGCGCAUACUACUCGUCGUCGACUUAUUAAAGGGCCCGUUUGGAAAAAAAGGUCUUCUUAUCGUGCGAGCGCAAAAAAAAAAAACGCGAAAUAAAAUUAGAAGGAGAGGUGGAGAAAAAAUUAAAUCGUUUAAAAAAAAAAAAUAAAGUAAAAGCUCCUUUUGUGUACCCGCGAUGAUUUACCGCACGGUUUUUAUCUGGCCGGCAAUAAAUCGCGGGCUCCCGCGACGCCCGAGGGAGGGUAUAUGUAGGAAAAAAUUGCACGAGCGCGAACCCCCUUCGCCGGAGCGGCGUGUAUGUAUUGUAUGCGUGUGCGUGUGUGCGUACGGUUUUUAUACAUAGAUAUUUAUUUUUUCGGAGUUAUAUGCACUCAUAUUUUCAAUGCGCCUAUCGCCUCCUUUUGUGAAUACUUUGCUCAUUAUGUAUACACACGAAUCCAUUACCGGGCAUCGUGGUUUGUCUUAUCACCACUUCGCCGCGUUUAUUCAACGUUUUUUCGGCAAUAACUUUCCGAGACGAACCCGCCGCACAUACUUAUAUAUAUAUUAUAUAUAAUUUUAUAUGCACAUAAUACGGGCGAUGUAUAUACCUAUAUACGUACUGCAUCACGCUUCACGAUGGUGUUAAUUCCAACAAGUAUUCCACACCGUGAGUAUAUACCUACUGCUGUGGUAUAUGUGAUGUAUAUAUAAAAUGUAUAUAAAUAAAUAAUAAUAUACCAGGUCGCGACUAAAUUAUCGUCGUUCUUUUAAAUGCACGCGGCGGCACGUGACGAUGUCAGGUUACGUUUUGGAAUUCAAAACUCCGGUGUUUGAUCAAUUUAAUAUGUAUCAUUUAGGUACGAAUAAUUAUAUUCGCAGGGGUAAAGCAGUGUGCACAUAACUAACGACGUGGUAAAAAUUAGAUUUAAUUUUAAUUAACGACGCUGCUAUUAAUUAUUUUGAUAUCGUGCCUAAGUGUUUUAGUAAAACACCACGAGUAAUUAAAACGAAACCGGUUGUCGUAAAAUUCGGUGUUCCUCAUCGUCAUGCAUGACCGGCGUAUGCAUAUAUAGCUUAAAACACAUAAUAUAUAACACGACAUAUUAUAGUGACGACUACACGCUCAAAUGUGUCAUGCCCAUAAUACGACAUAUUUUUGCGAAUGAGCCGCAUUCGUGCAUUAUUCUAAGGUGAACUUUAACCCCCUCUAUAGCGGAAAUUAGCGGAAAUGCUUUAUGGGUAUUAUUACCUCACGUUCCACAUAAAAAUUGCUAGAGAUCAAAUGGCCGCGCGCAAUGAUGGGGGAGUGAUAUCCCGGCGGUACACGUGUAAUAAUUAUAUCGGAACAAACGUAUAAUAAUAAUAAUAAUAAUAUUAAUGAUGAUGCUGAUACACAGUGACCGCCGUACAACGUAGGUGGCAUAGGUCUACAUAAUAAAUAUAGUUUUGUAUAAGUAUUAUACAGAGUGAGAGAAAACCGGAGGCUGCCGCGCAGGCACCCGACAUAUACACUCGUCGUAGGUAAUAUACAUGUUAUAUAUACUAUUAUAGGUUUAUAUGUAUACAGCACGCAUUAUACGGUGUAUGGUCUUCGAAGAGUUGUGGUCGGAUUGCCACGAGCACACUGUAUACACUUGCCCCAGCGUAUAGGUCCAUACAUCGUAGGAGAUGUUAUAUUGCCGUGUCCGCGAGUGUGUGCCGAACAAUUUGGCGUAAUCUGGGCACAAUACCAAAGGGGUCUCUGUCCGCUCAUUCCCUCUCUCGCUCCAUCUCUCUCUCUCUCUCUCUCUCAAAGUUUCAGUCCAUAUACAGCACGAACCGGGACACGAAACGCAGAGAAUAAAUCACAAGCACCUCGACUUUUCACGUCGCUCGCGAAAAGCAUUCCUCGCUCGGUCAUAUAUUUAAGAAUCUACCGCACGCGUGUCUGGACGGCUUACGCAAGCGUCAUAUAUGUGUACGUGUUAUUACAUAUACGUAAGACGCGAGCGCGAAUAUAAUGUGUGUGUUGUUUUACGAUAGGAAACAAUUUUAAUUUUUCUCCCGCAUAUACCUAUAUAUAUAUAUAUCAUGCGAUCUUUGUUUUUGCGGCAAUAAUACUUGUAUUUUUUUCACCCCGGCCUGGGCUGGCGAGCUUUAAACUUUUUCUUCGUCCUAUAUUAUAUAUAUAUAUAUAUAUAUGUUGUCCGGAGAGAAAUUAGUUUCUGCACACGCACACACGCACAAAUGGUCGACCGGAGGGCGGUCCGCGAGGCCAUGCAUCAAACCCUAUAUAUAUAUCCACGAGGCGCGGAGACUUUUAACCGCGCGCGCCAUACACACACACACACACACACACACACAGGCUCACACAACCAUGGUAUAGUGUUCGGUUACUGUGGCGGCGAGGGAAAAAAACGAAUGGUUCUCUUUCUUUCUAAUUGAGAUGUUACCGGUGAUGUAUUGCCCAAAGUAAUUCUACUACCCCCACCGCGGCCGAAUAGAACAAAAACGAGUUUGUAAUACAAAAACCAUUUACCAUUCGACUCUCGCGGAUAACACCGUUACAUUACACUAUAUUAUAUUAUGUUACAAUAUUUUAAUAUUUGGGAACAUUUGCGGCACGAAAAAAUAAGCAAAAAAUAAAAACAAUAACGAUUAAAAUCAUUAACUAUCCGAUCCGCUAUAUCCUUUUAAACGUUAAACACCGCGCGCGCCUAGUCGGUCGACUUAAAAAUAAAUAUAAUAAUGAGUUGCCUACCUACUUAAAUGCAAUAUGUAUACUAUAAUAACCACUAUUAAAAUGUAAAGCCCUCCGAAAACUUGUGACACGUUUUCAACCGUAUAAUAUUAUGUCAACGAUCUAAUUAGGCCACUCGGGUAUAUUAAUUUCUGCUUCUAAUUAUUUUUUUUGUUAAAAAAAUCUCACUGUCACACAUCGCUGGUAGGAAAAUAGAUUCGGCGCGUAUACAUGUAGUACGUGCGUACUAUAAUAGUAGUGUACAAUAUUAUUAUGAAAUCUGAUUAUUCAUUACGUGUUCACCUUGCCGCCGGGAUCUACAGAUCUCCACAUCCUAUACAUUGUAUAUACCUAUAUAUAAAAUGUAUUGUAGACUGCGCGGGGCGAGUGCGCAUUAAUAUAAACGAGUAUUAAUUUAGUACUCGUUAAUUAUUAUCGCGACCUGACGAAUAUUAUUCUCUCGUGUUUCAUAUACAAUAUUAUGUAGGCAGUAUAUGUCGGCGGUGCCGAUAUAAUACAAACCGUCUCAUUAAACGUAUAAUUUGUAAUAGGUAACCAUUACAUAAUUAAUGAUAUAUAUCGAAGUAAUUAGUAUACAUAUUUUUUUUUUAUCCGAAAAUAUUUUGAAUAUGCCGUAGGAAAUAUUUACCGUCGUAUACAUAUUAUACAAUAAUAUUAUAUGGGUGAACUCGUUUGUAUUAAACUAAUAAAUAAUAAUAUAAUUCCAUGAGCAUUCGAAUAACGACUUCUUUAUGUUUCAAACACUCGCGACUACAAAAAUAAAAGGGUAUAAACGCAUAUCGGGUGCGGUUAAACAGUCAGCCCCGUAUGCGUUUGUAUAAUAUCACGCACCGGAACCGUUUACGAAAGCGGAUUGGUUUUCGGGGUGUGCCUUAAAAAAGGUUGUAAAAUAUAAAUUGCGUAUCGUCCGCCGGUGAACAAAAAAAUGUUCACUUGUUAUUUUGAUUGCAAUUGACCGCAAAACGCAUAAUAAGACGUCCUGCAGCGGCGCGAGCGUGUUAAAAAAAUACGAAGUGUGCAAAAAAAAGAAAGAAAUGAGAACAAAAAUGUGUCGAAAUAUUUGCUACCGGAUUUUUAUUUUUUUUUGUUAUAAAACCGAUUUCACGCUACUCAAGGUCUAACGUGCACUACUGUUUGGAUAGUCGGACGAGUCUCCCGGGCAGCGGCGGCGGCCGUGGAGCGUACAAAAUCGAAAUGCAGGCAUUGUCAACGGGUCCCGAGGUUAGGGGUACGUAUGCAAGACCUACCUUUAAUACCUACUCACGUAUAUAUAUACAUAAUAUUACCUACAUAUAAAUACGUGCAUACGUGUGCAGCCCGAGUUCGCAAUGUAGGCACAGCGCGUAUAUUAUAUGCUGCUGCAGGCACCGCGUGCAGUGGCAAUGAUGGCGGUGUCCCCGGGUGAGGCCUAUUGUGAGGACGAUACAGUAUUAUAUUAUUAUAUACCUGAGGGUGUCCAAAAGACAAACAAAGGGGAUGCCGAAAACGAGUUUCACCUUUGGAAACUUUCACUUUACGUUAUUUAUUACCCCGCGUGCGUGCGUCCGCGUGUAUUAUUGUACACGGGCACAAUAAUGCUGAUGACAGUGCACGUACCCACACGUGUAAAAUAUGUGUAUGGUACGUAGGCCCCGAGUCGAAAUUCGUCGCAUUUCGUCGAACGCGUCCGCACUGGAAUCAUCACCGUCGUUCAACUCCACCGUCACCGCCACCGGUAAGUGCAGUUUGUUUUAUUAAGUUUUUCCGUAAACCGUUCGCCACCUACCUAGGUAAAAAGCUAGCCAUAUAUAUAUAUUAUGUAAUUACAUGACGCGUACGUACGAUAUAAAUCUCGGUGGACGCUUAAAAAAUAAUUUUAUCGCAGCCACCGCGAAUCUGUUACUGCUACUACUAUUAUUAUUAUUAUUAUUAUUGCUGCCUCAUUAACGGAAAACAAACACGACGCGGUUUAACCUCGCCAGGCCGUAAUAGUGAGCACGUUAUACAUUAUUAUACAUAUAAUAAUAUAUAUCGCGAACGACGAGAUUUAUACAUGUAUACGUAUAUAAUAUAUAUGUUUAUAUUAUAUAAAUGUAUAUGUGUGUGUGUGUGUGUGUGUGUGUGUGUAUUAUACAUGUUUGUAUACACGUUAUAAGAGGGUUUCUUAUAUUGAUUUAAACGGGUCUCCUGGGCAUGCUAAAUAUCCGUCCGGCAUCCGCUCGCCGCCGGGCCCUGCCAUUUUGCCCCUUAAGGGGGUGACACUGCACGCACACCAUCCCGCCCGCACCGUGCCGCGGCGGCGAACCCCGAAAAGCCCCACCGCCACCCCCCGCCCACGCCGCCAGCGCGCACAUAGGUCAUUCGCGUGUAAUAAUAUAAAUUCUCGUAAAAUAUUAUACAUAAUAUUACGCGUGUAUAUAUUAGUAACUCCGACACAACAUUAUAAUAUUACUUGCGUUUCGUUCUACAACAAUUAUUAUCGUUUUUUUUUUUGUUAUUAUUAUUUUACAAUAAUAUUCUUCUUUGUCGUCCGCAAUUCGUUUCGCGCGUCGCCGUAAGUAAUUUACACCGAACAUUUACCGCGGUGGACUAUGAACUUCAAUUUUAUCGUGGCCUUUGAGAAGAAUCUUUUCUCGGGUAUAAUUUAUAAAAAAAACGUUCUAAAAUAUUUUAACUGCCACACCACGGUCGUUGGUUGUUCCCGUGUAGCCAUCGUCACGUCGGCAAACCGCACCGGUUUCGAAUUCUUACGCAUAUUAUAUUAUAUAUUUCCAAAUAUCGCCACCGAUGAUCGUAAUUUGACCUGUGUUCGUGAUAAACCAGAGCGAUUCCGCACCGGACUCGAUGAAGGCGAACGAGACAAUUAUAUCUAAUCCACUGACAAUCACUAAUUAAUAACGUUAUGCGAAUAAAUUAAUUUUUAAUAAAAGUUAUGCGAAACUCGUGCAUUGCGUUGUAAUAUAUCAAACAAAAUUCACAUAUUUUGUUAUUGUUUAACGAGAUAAUGAACUGAAAAAAUAUUUAUCGGUGGCGCCUGCACAUUUUUUCUCAUUAAAACCAGACAAUCUACAUCAUUAUUAUAAUAGAUAAUGUGUAUAGUAGCGACUACAAUGAUUACAUAAACGUAAUAUAUUAUUGUUAUAAUAAUAUUACAAUAAUUAUUAUUGUACAUCGCAUUAUUAUAAACAGAAAGUUAUACGUCAUGUAUGUUUGGCGUGUUCGACGGAUUUAGUAGGUAGCCAUCUUUAUCAACGGAAACCCAAUCAUAUUCCUUUUUAAUCCUGUACAAAUACCUAAUAUACUCGUAUAAAUUGUAUGUAAUAUGUCAGUAUGCCAUAUAAUAUAUGGAACGCUGUAUAUGUGUAUGUCCCUAUUGUGUCAAGGCGAAUCGGUUCGUAAUUAAUAUAAUAAUUAUUGUUAUUAUUGUACUAAUUAAUGACGAUAAUUACACGUGAUCCGAAGAUAGGAAAAAAUUAUAUUACAUAUUAUUUUAUUUUUAAAAAAAUUUUAAAUGUGACGACUAUAAUAGGUGGAUUUAUGUCUAUAUCGCAGUUGAAUGAAAUAUUGUAUAGUACGUUAUGGUUUGGUCUGUAAAACGUGAUUCGAUUUUAAACAAUUACUCAGUAUACCUUAUAUGAAUUGGCAAACGUCUGAUGAUUGUACACGAGCUAGUUGUUAGCGAAUACUUAAAAAACAUAUUCUACGAUGUUAAUUUAAUAAAAUUUGAUUUUUUAAAAUGCAAUUUAAAUGGCGCAUAAUGUGUCGGUCGUAAAAAUCUCAAAAAAAUAAAUAUUUCAGAAGAAUCUCGUAUAGUGUUUUUUUUUUAAACAUAAAACUAUCAUUAAUUUAUUGGCUGUAUAAUCCCAAGUGAUUAACAUCAUUACUAAUGACAUCGUUUAUACUCAGUUCCGUAGCGAUAAAAACGUAUUAUGGACCAAAUCAUCAUAGCCAACGUAUAUAGUUUAAUGACCACCUCGAUGAACAACUGCAGGAACAUGAAUAUUUUGGGAGAACGGGUCACACUGCAUAUACUUAAUAGUCUAACACUCUAAUAUAUCGUAUACUAUUAUAUAUUAUAUUUUAAUAUACGUACACAAGUCGUAUGUUAUUGCGAGCUGAAGAUUUAGGGCAUAGGAAGAGGAAGUGGCACCGACACCGGUGGUUAUCGCGUCGUCCGCGCGGCCGUUGUCCACUCUCUUGUGCUGUGAUAAUAAUAGUAUAUUAUGUACCUACUCGUAUUAUAAUAUUAUAUUUAUGCGCAUAUAAUAUCGUUUUCCUCGGAAGUCCACCGGGCGCGGACGAUAAGGUUGUUUGCUCAACACCAAGUGGUCACCCCGCACCGGAGAGACUUACACACACCACAUUAUAUUAUACUGUAUACCGGUCAGCCGGAAUAUAAUUUGUCGCUUAUAGUAAUAUAUUAUUAUCUUAUACAUAUAUGCGCGUCGUGGUGUAUAUACGAUCGAGUAAAUCCCGUUUUUCUCCCGGUGCGCGCGCGGUCCUCGACCCGAACGAUGUUCGCGUUAGAACAACAAGGAUACAAUUAUUAUUAUUAUCAUAAUAACGGUCGGAAACUUUUCGGCCGCGCUCACACUUCCGAUUCGGCGACCCGAUGAUAAUAUUUUCAUCCUUGACAUCCGCAUAAACCCGACAUUCAGCUGCACGUUCUCGGGAAAUACUCAUGACAUUUCUCGACGUAUUUUCUACCGCGUUUAUAUUGUACCUACAUAUAUAAAGUUAGUACCUAUUUCAUGGCGUUAUAUCAACAAUAUAUAUUAUAUUAUAAUAUAUACGUGUUUGUGGCACACACACAUCACACUCACACACAUACGCACAUCGCGCGUAUAAUUGGGGUCACUUCCUUCCUUCCUUCCUUCCGGUCCUUCGGUCGGAACUCACGCAAGCACACACACACAUACCAGUGGCCCGCACACAUGGUCGGAAAAAGGUCCUCGGCCACGGCACGUCACGUCCGCCUACCUAUUUAAAUACGACGCAUACUGCGACGGGGUAAACUCGCGCGCGCCCGUCGUUUGACCACCGCGAAAGCGGGUGUAUACCACUUGAUACAUGACCGGAUUACGAAAGUUUUACUGCACACGUUGUACGCGAAAAAAGUACAUACAGGAAGAUUGUUUUAUCGUAAACCAGCCGGAAAUGUUUUGGGAGAAACAUACCUAAUAUUAAUGUGAAAUUUUUGAAACAAUUAUUAUUUUUUGAUGAUUUUAUAAGAACAAAUUUUAUCUACCCACUUUGAUCGUCCUAUAGGAAACUUCGUACAACAGCAGUCUUUCUCAAAAGUCAUUAAAUGUAAAUUUGAACGUAGUACCUACCUAUAUGUGUGUUUAGUUGAGACUAUAAUGGCUUGCCGAGAUAUUGUCCGAUUCGUCGCGAUAACGUCAUCGCGAUCACUCUGUAUUGUGAGGGUUUUCCCGAGGCUUUUACCGCUCCACGGAAAACGCUCGGCCGCCGCGGCUUGCCGCCGCACACAUGUUCGACAGUAUAAUAUAUAAUAUUGUUAUUAUUGCAAUUCGUUAUUCGAUUCGGCCUGAAACGCCGGGAAAGCGACAAAUUUAAAUAUAAUCGCACAUAAUCCAUUGCUGCCACCCGGCCGUAAUAAUUAUAUUAUAUAUAUAUAUAUAAUAUUAUAAUUAAUAUACGCAUUUGUACGCAUAUUUUAACGAUAACUGUGCCGCGCGCGCUCGUGAAUUCGGCCGGAAAUCUAUUGCGAGCCGAGUCCGUUUGCAUACAUUGUAAACCCUUUUGCGGCGCGUAAACCGUAUAAAUUUCUCGUUUUAAAUCGAUAAUACGCUCGCGGUGUAUUAUAUUAGCUGGCGCACGUAUAUAUAUAAUAAUAAUAAUAAUAUUAUAAAUUCUAACACUCGGCGAUUAUUGCGUUGUUAUUAUCGUUGUAUACGACGUAUAUAUCCAUCGUGUUUAUUGGAAAAUAAUUGAACGAUUUCACCGGCAGCGUCGCCGGCGCCUUGGAGUUAGGUUUUUUUUUGUUGUUUCUAAUAAAUAUAUUAUAUCGAAAGCGACGAAAACUGGUCGACAAGGUAUACCCAUACGCGUUAAAUAGGAUAUACCGUCAAAACAUAUUAUGUUCGAUUAUAAUAAACGACGUGCGUAUAUAUUAUAAUAUGUUGUGACGAUAAAGGCGUAGGAUAUGUGAGGUAUGCGAUAGACAUUUUGAAUCCCAUCCUAUAUAUCAGGUACGUUCUAUAUACGGCUAUACCGUUGAAAUAAUAAUAAUAAUAAUAAUAAUUAGGUACGCGGGAAUUACGAACAUUAUGCCAUGAUAUAAUAAAGUGUAAGAAAUAAUUUAUUAAUCAUUUAAAACACUAUAGGUAUAUGCUUUUAAUUUAUAUUAUAUACAUAAAAAUUAUAUAUAUUAUAUAGGUACAUAUAUGAUUACUAAAAGCCUGAUAAUGAUAACGCCAUCGACAACUAGUGACUGAUUUCAAUAACCUAUAUUUGUUAUAUCAACGCUCUAUAUAGAGUAGAUUAACCUUAGGUCUUUUAAUUCAGUAGCGGUUUUUUUUUUUUUUUGAUAAGUUAUUUAAUUAUUUAAAACCGUUGUCUUUUCUUUUGCUGCAAGCGAUCUACGAACAUACGACGAUAUCAUACCAUUAUCGAGUAACUUCGAAUGCAUGUACAUAAAAUAUUACAUUUGAUUUUUUAUCCCAACACUUGAAAAUAUUGUUAUAACAAUAAAUUCGUCUCUUGGCCCGAACACCUAAUUUACCAUUAUGUUAUAAGCAGGUAUUAUGCUUUUCAAUAACAUAUAUUAUAAUCUAUUUUGAUAUAUACAUAGCCAUACUAUAACCUAACUAUAUUAUUAUAUAUUAAGUAUAAUAUAUAGUUAGUAUUUGUUGGCCACGUAUUGCAAUACAUCAUUUAAUAGUAAUCUUAUUUAGUUGAUUUUCAUGUUCCCAUCACGAGCGAGUGUAUAGGUUGGUACUAUAUAUUAUAAUAUGUUCAGAUAUAAUUUAUUAUAAGAAAGACACGGAUUGUCUCAAUGGUAUAUGUAUAAUACUCGUAAUAAUAAUGUUAAAAUAUUCAACUAUACAUAUUAUAUUAUUAUACAGCUCUAAUCGCGUUUGUAAUAUUCGUUUUUGUUUCAGAACAUCAUAUUUUACAAUGUGACCCUUCGAUUCAAUUUGUUUGUGAAUUUGAUGGAUCGCUACGGGUUUUCAGUGCAUAAUAUACUGCAUGGCGGUCAUUAUUCCGUACCUAUACUUAGUAUUAUUAUACUUGCUGUACAGUUUCAGUAGCCACGCAGUUCGUUAUGGAGCUUAAUGUUAGUCUCUAAUAGAUUUGUCGAGUGAACGCGUACGAGAAUCCUGCAGAACACCGAAUACAUAAUAAUAUGAAUAACAAUAUUGUGUUAUAGUAGUAUCGUGGUUCGUCGUUUAUCUAUAACUGGUGCAGACCCGUGUCAGAGGUAAAUUAACAGUUUAUUUAUAUGAGUAUAAUUCAUCAAAUUCAAUUUAAUUAUUUCCUUAAUUAUGUUUCAGGUCGUUUAUUUAUAGUUUUUGAUGACUGACUACUUUGUUAAAUUCAUUUUUUUAAUCGUAUGAAUUGUUACGCUCCCGACAUAUUUGCAUAAAACAAUGGAAUUAUUAAAACUAAAUUCAAACGUAUAGCUGUGAACAUUAUACACAUUUAAGCAGGUUCCUACAGUCUAGACACACGGAUUAUAUAUUAUAUAUAGGUACCACGGAAGUAUUGUUACAUAUGCGCGGAUAUUACGAACUCGAAAAGUAUUCAUGUAUAGAAUAAAAGUGAAAUCACUAGGUCAUCUCGCGGAUACACGACGACGAAGACUUCCACUACGUUUUAAUCGCGGAUCUUUUCCGGCCUGCGUGCGCUCUCGAAACGUGUAUAUACUUUUAUGUAUUAAACGUGUGUCCAUAUAGGAACAUUAUAUAUAUUAUAUAUGAUAUAUAUAUACAUAAUAUAUAUAUAUAUGCAUAUUUUAUUUUUUAAACAUCGGUAGUGUUAUAUACGUAUAUAUACCUAUUUAGAUGCGUAUAAUAUCAUACAGAACGUACCCGCAGCAGCCUACGCGCCGCAUACGACUUGGGAGAAUACUGCAGCUCAGAUUACAAUCGCGCGGGUAAUCAACAAUCGCGCACUAUAACUGUGUUGCUAAUAAUAUAUUAUAUUGUGUAUGUACUACAUAGAUACGGUCAUUUAUUGUGGUUCGCGCGUGUAAUUUUUUUUUAACGUCUAAUUAGCGAUUGCAUUUUUUUUCAGGCCAAACACAUCACGCGUUGGGUGUUGAUUGUUAAUGAACAUACUCGACAACAUCAACUGGACUAAACGAUAAUAAUUAUAUGAAAUACGAUAUCGGAUAUGCACGCGUGAAUCAAAAAAUAAUAAUAUAAAAUAUUGUAUUAUACCUAUUAUACCUAUAUGUACCCACUUUAAUUUACACCAAACGCUUUGUUGUACCGCUUACAUCAACAUUAAUAUAUUUUAUAAAUUUACAUUUGUAUAUUGAGUAGAAUAAUUUAUAAUACACAUUCAUCCAUAUUAUGUCUAAUUAAAAUGUAUUUUUUUACAUAAUUAGUGUAGGUAUAUAUAAGAUUACGAGAACGCUGUGUAUUUAUGCACGUAUAUAUUGUAUGUAUGCUGAACGAGUAAUAAUUGAAUACAUCAUCAUAGGUACUAUAGUGUGGUUAAAUUAAUUAUUUUCCGAUUUGCCGUUGAAAGGAAAUCGAGCAAUCAGUUGUUUAUGCAUGAAUAAGUAUAUAUUAUACCUAUACUGAAAGCCGGGUUAUGUUACUAUAUUAUAAUCAUCAAUCAAUAUGUUUUAACUCGCCGAAUAUGUAUAUCUACCAUAGAGUAAAUUAUCAAUUUAUAUACUUGUAUAGUUCAAUGAAUUUAUAAUAAACAUCAUCAUAAUCGCAUAUGAAGAUUAAAAACACACAAA